CAAUUUCUUACUUCUUAAAGCUUAAAUCACUUAUUGUGGACCGACACUCAUAGUCUCUGCAGAUUGGCAAUCUCAUUCUAUACUAUAGAACCGGCAACAAUACCUUUCUCUACACACUCAAUGUGCACUCAAUCGAAUUCGCUAUAAGUUUAAAUAAUGUACAAGAUAGAAAUGAGAAAUAACUGAUGAUCAAUUUUAUAUAUAAAAAAAGAAUCAAGUAUCAAAGGAAGUUUAGAACACCUUCGAAGUAUAACGUUUUUGCUUAUCUAACAAACGUAGAAGGUCAAGAAAAACUCGUAUUAAUUUACUAUAACUAUUCAAACUAAAAUUUUUUAACAAAGUUUUUUAACAAUUAAAAAGAUAAAUGUAAAUUAUAGUUAACUUAUCAACAAGCAAUAUUUUGUUUGCCAAGCGAGUGUGGCAUAGUAGACGGCGUACUGAUCCUAGGUUCAAUUCCCGGCAGAGCCAAAAUAUUUACUUUCCUUUUGGAAGGCAAUGACAAACCAUCGAGAAUAACUUUGCCGUCUCUCUCUAUCAAAAAUUUACUGUUCGGAACCGGCGUUAAACUGUAGGUCCCAUAUACCUGUAUAAUCAUCGUGCGUACCACAGAUAUGCGAGAAAAAGAGAUCACCACACUCAGACACGAGCAAUAGGACUGGGGAUGAGGAAAGUAAUUUUUACAAUCAGAAAUAUAUGUAUGCA